UACGAAGGGGGCUAGCGUUGUUCGGAAUCACUGGGCGUAAAGGGCGCGUAGGCGGCGCGACAAGUUAGGCGUGAAAGCCCCGGGCUCAACCCGGGAAUUGCGCUUGAUACUGUCGUGCUUGAGGCCGGGAGAGGAUGGCGGAAUUCCCAGUGUAGAGGUGAAAUUCGUAGAUAUUAGGAGGAACACCGGUGGCGAAGGCGGCUAUCUGGACGACAACUGACGCUGAGGCGCGAAAGCGUGGGGAGCAAACAGG
rnacentral:rRNA from 1 species